rnacentral:lncRNA from 1 species
UGGCAUCAGUCAUACCAGUGAAGAACAAGAAACUUCUGGAGGUCAAACUAGGGGAGCUGCCAAGCUGGAGCUUGAUGCAGGACUUCAGCAAUAGUGGCACUACCGGAGCAUUUUGAAGAGGUUAUUACUGGUACUACAAGCAGUGCAUUGACAUGAAGAAGGGGAGCAUCUCAGGGGUUACCAUGGUGCUGGCAAGCUACGUGCUCUUCAGCUACUGCCUUUCCUACAAGGAGCUCAAGCACAAGUGGCUAUGCAAGUACCACUGA